rnacentral:rRNA from 1 species
UGGGCGUAAGGGCUCGCAGGCGGUUUCUUAAGUCUGAUGUGAAAGCCCCCGGCUCAACCGGGGAGGGUCAUUGGAAACUGGGAAACUUGAGUGCAGAAGAGGAGAGUGGAAUUCCACGUGUAGCGGUGAAAUGCGUAGAGAUGUGGAGGAACACCAGUGGCGAAGGCGACUCUCUGGUCUGUAACUGACGCUGAGGAGCGAAAGCGUGGGGAGCGAACAGGAUUAGAUACCCUGGUAGUCCACGCCGUAAACGAUGAGUGCUAAGUGUUAGGGGGUUUCCGCCCCUUAGUGCUGCAGCUAACGCAUUAAGCACUCCGCCUGGGGAGUACGGUCGCAAGACUGAAACUCAAAGGAAUUGACGGGGGCCCGCACAAGCGGUGGAGCAUGUGGUUUAAUUCGAAGCAACGCGAAGAACCUUACCAGGUCUUGACAUCCUCUGACAACCCUAGAGAUAGGGCUUUCCCUUCGGGGACAGAGUGACAGGUGGUGCAUGGUUGUCGUCAGCUCGUGUCGUGAGAUGUUGGGUUAAGUCCCGCAACGAGCGCAACCCUUGAUCUUAGUUGCCAGCAUUCAGUUGGGCACUCUAAGGUGACUGCCGGUGACAAACCGGAGGAAGGUGGGGAUGACGUCAAAUCAUCAUGCCCCUUAUGACCUGGGCUACA